rnacentral:rRNA from 1 species
UACGUAGGGGGCUAGCGUUGUCCGGAAUCAUUGGGCGUAAAGAGCGUGUAGGCGGCUCGGUAAGUCCGCUGUAAAAGUCAAAGGCUCAACCUUUGAAUGUCAGUGGAUACUGCCGGGCUAGAGUCCGGAAGAGGCGAGUGGAACUCCUGGUGUAGCGGUGGAAUGCGCAGAUAUCAGGAAGAACACCAAUGGCGAAAGCAGCUCUCUGGGACGGUACUGACGCUGAGACGCGAAAGCGUGGGGAGCGAACAGG